AUGAAUACCACUGGGAGUUAAGGGCUUGCUGUGACUCUCACUCUUACUUAGAGGAGUUUUGCCUGCAGCAGUCACAUAGUUGAAAAAUAUGGAUCCAUGUGACUGCUAAGAGACCACUGAGAAGCCAAGACAGGAGUCACAGCCCACGCAGUCCGACUCGGGAUGCUACCGCGUUCGAGCAGUUAGGAAGCAGCAGUGUUGCCGGCCCGCUAGUCCGCGCACGGCAGCGAGCAAAGCCAAUUCAGUCGGUAGCUUCCUCGUGCACAUUUCUGCUGGUGCUGGGAUGAAAGAGACCGGGAUCCAAACCUUCACAGUCUUGGUCACUGCAGAACUUUGUGCCAUCCGUGGACAUGAAGCAGCGUUGGGCCAGGAGCAACACACACAGGGCAGUGACCACAGGCGGGUGAGUGGGCUGACACUUCCAAAGAAGCUUAAACCC